rnacentral:rRNA from 1 species
ACCAUGAGACCGAUAGUAAACAAGUACCGUGAGGGAAAGUUGAAAAGAACUCUGAAUAGAGAGUUAAAUAGUACGUGAAACUGCUUAGAGGUUAAGCCCGAUGAACCUGAAUAUCCAUUAUGGAAAAUUCAUCAUUAUGAAUAUGAUAUGAAUAAUAUUAUAAAAAUGGUGUGCAUUUUUUCCAUAUAAGGACAUUGUAAUCUAUUAACAUGCCAUAAUUUAUCAUAAGAUCAAUGAUAAAAGUUUAUUCUUAUUAUUUUGCUUGCAAUUUAACAUAGAAUAAAGUCGUUGAUUUGAUAAAGUGUUGAUAGGCUUAUUAUAUACAGUGCUUGAAUAUUUAUAUUCUAUAAUAGCAUGGUAAUCAUGAUUAUUGUGUUUAUUAUAUGCACUUGUAUGAUUAACAAUGCGAAAGAUUCAGGAUACCUUCGGGACCCGUCUUGAAACACGGACCAAGGAGUCUAACAUAUUUGCAAGUUAUUGGGAAUUAAAAACCUAAUAGCGAAAUUAACAUAACUUUAUAUAUAAUGGGAUUAGUUUUUGACUAUAUUUAUAGUCUAUUAAUUCAAUCCCGGGGCGUUCUAUCAGUUAUGUAUUUUAACUUGUAUUAUUUAUACCUCUAACUAGAGCGUACCUUGAGCAUA